GACGAACGCUGGCGGCGUGGAUUAGGCAUGCAAGUCGAACGGUAUCAUCCUUUCGGGGGUGAGAGAGUGGCGAACUGGUGAGUAACACGUAGGUUAUCUACCCUCAAGACGGGGACAACCCAGGGAAACUUGGGCUAAUACCGGAUGUGAGCAACUUUUAGUUGUUUGAAAGGUGGCGUAAGCUGUCGCUUGGGGAUGAGCCUGCGUCCUAUUAGUUAGUUGGUGAGGUAACGGCUCACCUAGGCAAUGAUAGGUAGGCGGCCUUAACGGGUGGUCGCCCACACUGGGAUUGAGAUACGGCCCAGACUCCUACGGGAGGCAGCAGUCGAGAAUAGUCUACAAUGGUCGGAAGACUGAUAGUGCGACGCCGCGUGAACGAUGAAUCCCUUCGGGGUGUAAAGUUCUUUUAUAUGUGAGCAGUGCUUCUUAUAUUAACAGUAUGGGGAGAGAGAUAUUAGCAUAUGAUAAGCAACGGCUAACUCCGUGCCAGCAGCCGCGGUAAACUCGU
rnacentral:rRNA from 1 species